rnacentral:rRNA from 1 species
UGAGGAAUAUUGGUCAAUGGGCGAGAGCCUUAACCAGCCAAGUUGCGUGCAGGAUGACGGCCCUAUGGGUUUUAAACUGCUUUUAUGUGGGGAUAAAGUGCGUGACGUGUCAUGCAUUGCAGGUACCACAUGAAUAAGGACCGGCUAAUUCCGUGCCAGCAGCCGCGGUAAUACGGAAGGUCCGGGCGUUAUCCGGAUUUAUUGGGUGUAAAGGGAGCGUAGGCUGUCUAUUAAGCGUGUUGUGAAAUUUACCGGCUCAACCGGUGGCUUGCAGCGCGAACUGGUCGACUUGAGUAUGCAGGAAGUAGGCGGAAUUCAUGGUGUAGCGGUAAAAUGCUUAGAUAUCAUGACGAACUCCGAUUGCGCAGGCAGCUUACUGUAGCAUAACUGACGCUGAUGAUCGAAAGUGAGGGUAUCAAACAGG